rnacentral:rRNA from 1 species
UACAGAGGUCUCAAGCGUUGUUCGGAUUCAUUGGGCGUAAAGGGUGUGUAGGUGGCCGCGCUAAGUCGGGUGUGAAAUUUCGGAGCUUAACUCCGAAACUGCAUUCGAUACUGGCGUGCUUGAGGACUGGAGAGGAGACUGGAAUUCAUGGUGAGCAGUGAAAUGCGUAGAGAUCAUGAGGAAGACCAGUGGCGAAGGCGGGUCUCUGGACAGUUCCUGACACUGAGACACGAAGGCCAGGGGAGCAAACGGG